rnacentral:rRNA from 1 species
AUACGUAGGGGGCGAGCGUUGUCCGGAUUUAUUGGGCGUAAAGGGUGCGUAGGCGGCCUUGUAAGUCAGAUGUGAAAUCUCACGGCUUAACCGUGGUAAGCAUUUGAAACUGUGAGGCUUGAGUACAGGAGAGGAGAGUGGAAUUCCUAGUGUAGCGGUGAAAUGCGUAGAUAUUAGGAGGAAUACCAGUGGCGAAGGCGACUCUCUGGACUGUAACUGACGCUGAGGCACGAAAGCGUGGGGAGCAAACAGGAUUAGAUACCCUGGUAGUCCACGCCGUAAACGAUGAGUGCUAGGUGUCGGGGGUCAAACCUCGGUGCCGCAGUUAACACAUUAAGCACUCCGCCUGGGGAGUACGGUGGCAACACUGAAACUCAAAUGAAUUGACGGGG